UUUAAAUGUUUCUCCUUUCUAACUGCAAAUGGGUGUAACGGAGUUAUCCUUGCAGUCGGCUUCCUGAAGCGUUAUCAAAUGAAAGGUUUCGCAAUGGUCCCGUCACGCUGAGCCAGUUGAUGCAAAGAAACAUCUCGAAAGAUCUAAUUACACGGAUCCUAUGAUCACCUCUUAACGCUCGUGGAAAUAAAACACGCUUUCACAGUAAUGGUCUGGACAAACUGAGCCAGGGGUUUACUUGGAUUUAAAGAAAUCUGACGUGCACAAGUUUUCUCAAUAAUGAAUAAAUAUUUAGAGACUGUGAAAUAUAUAUGUUUAAGCCACAUAAUUAUAUUUCUAAUAAGGUAUAUUAUUAAGAAGAGGGUUAUUUAUAUUGAAUGA